rnacentral:rRNA from 1 species
UGGGGAAUAUUGGACAAUGGGCGAAAGCCUGAUCCAGCAAUGCCGCGUGAGUGAUGAAGGCCUUAGGGUUGUAAAGCUCUUUUACCCGGGAUGAUAAUGACAGUACCGGGAGAAUAAGCUCCGGCUAACUCCGUGCCAGCAGCCGCGGUAAUACGGAGGGAGCUAGCGUUGUUCGGAAUUACUGGGCGUAAAGCGUGCGUAGGCGGCGACUCAAGUCAGAGGUGAAAGCCCGGGGCUCAACCCCGGAACUGCCUUUGAAACUAGGUUGCUAGAAUGUCGGAGAGGUGAGUGGAAUUCCGAGUGUAGAGGUGAAAUUCGUAGAUAUUCGGAAGAACACCAGUGGCGAAGGCGGCUCACUGGACGACUAUUGACGCUGAGGCACGAAAGCGUGGGGAGCAAA